rnacentral:rRNA from 1 species
UACAGAGGGGGCAAGCGUUAUUCGGAAUUAUUGGGCGUAAAGGGCGCGUAGGCGGCUUGGCAAGUGGAAGGUGAAAUCCCUCGGCUUAACCGAGGAACUGCCCUCCAAACUGCUUGGCUUGAGACCGGGAGAGGUGAGUGGAAUUCCCAGUGUAGCGGUGAAAUGCGUAGAUAUUGGGAGGAACACCAGAGGCGAAGGCGGCGACCUGGACAGAUACUGACACUCAACUACGAAAGCGUGGGGAGCAAACAGG